rnacentral:ncRNA from 1 species
GCAUCUAAAAAGCACACCUUUACGAAAGUUGGGGUCGCAAAGCUUCCGGUCUACCGCCUCCUGAGGGGCCAAGAUAGCGGAGUUGCUGAU